CUACUCUACACUAGAGUUUAUGGCAUUUGAACAUGUAAAAGAACGUCUUCUUGGAUCCUCUUGGCCAUAACUCUAUGGUUGGCCCAAAUCUACCCUUUGGUGGGCUUGCAUGUGGGCUUGUGCUUGGGCCUCUUCCAUCAUCCCCUCCCUCUUGAAAAGGAUUUGUCCUCAAAUCCAAAGUUUUUUUUCUUCAACUAGGGG
rnacentral:lncRNA from 1 species